GAGCCCCAGCGACCUUCAGGGACUCCAGAAUAACCUCCUGGGGACGCGCGUCUGAGCAGGAAACAGCAGGAAGGGGUCCGAGCGGAUGAACUCCUGGGUUCUGUCCCCAGCUCUGGGAGGAGGUGGGGUCCAGUGAUCAGACCAAGGCGGACUGGGAGCCAGGACUCCUGGGUUCUCUCCCCAGCUCUGGGAAGAGGUGAGGUCCAGUGAUCAGACCAAGGCAGACUGGGAGCCAGGACUCCUGGGUUCUCUCCCCAGCUCUGGGAAGAGGUGGGGUCCAGUGGUCAGACCAAGGCGGACUGGGAGCCAGGACUCCUGAGUUCUCUCCCCAGCUCUGGGAAGAGGUGGGGUCCAGUGGUCAGACCAAGGCGGACUGGGAGCCAGGACUCCUGGGUUCUCUCCCCAUCUCUAGGAGGAGGCAGGGUCCAGUGAUCAGAGCUGAGCUCUGGACUCAGGACUCCUGGGUUCUAUUCCUGCCUUAGCCGCGAUUGGCUUUUGCACUGAAGGUCAGCGGUUCCCCUAGCAGCAUGCGGAAUGGGUGUGGUGGGCAGACGGGCUCCCAGUGUAAAUAGACGGGGGUGGGAUGCUGGGCACAUGAGUUAGGGGAGUGUCUGCCUCGCUCCAGCCCAGCACUGGCCUGCUGCCUCUCCCCGGGUCAGGUGAGAAGCCAGGACUGGACAGGUCACUCUCCACCACAAGGGUGGGGCCCUGCCCUGGGGAGGCUGGGGGGAGGGGAGAAGCUGCUCCGACCCCUGCCUGGUCCUGGAGCUAAUGGAGGAGCCU